rnacentral:tRNA from 1 species
GAACAUGUUGGUGAAACCCCCUCUUUUACUA